GAUCCUGCCGGACCCGACUGCUAUUUGGGUGAGAUUAAGCCAUGCAAGUCGUAUGGGAUACCUAAAUUUCCCAUGGCGCACUGCUCAGUAACACAUGAUUAACUUACCCUAUGGAGAAAAAUAACCUCGGGAAACUGAGGAUAAUAUUUCAUCGUUGAGAAGGCUUGGAAAAGUUUUUCAAUCAAAAGGAUAAGAUAAAUGGUUCUUAUCUGCCAUAGGAUAGGAUCGUGGUCGAUUAUGGUUGUUGGCGAGGUAAUGGCUCACCAAGCCGAUAAUCGAUAGGGGCCGUGAGAGCGGGAGCCCCGAGAUGGGUACUGAGACAACGACCCAGGCCUUACGAGGCGCAGCAGGCGCGAAACCUCCGCAAUACACGCAAGUGUGACGGGGUCACCCAAAGUGUCCUUUAUAGGACUGUGAUAGGUGGGUAAUAUCCCCUAUCAGAAAGGAGAGGGCAAGGCUGGUGCCAGCCGCCGCGGUAAAACCAGCUCUUCAAGUGGUCGGGAUCUUUAUUGGGCUUAAAGUGUCCGUAGCCGGUUUAGUAAGUUCCUGGUAAAAUCGGAUAGCUUAACUAUUCGUAUGCUAGGAAUACUGCUAUACUAGAGGGCGGGAGAGGUCUGAGGUACUACUAGGGUAGGGGUGAAAUCUUAUAAUCCUUUUAGGACCACCAGUGGCGAAGGCGUCAGACUGGAACGCGCCUGACGGUGAGGGACGAAAGCUAGGGGAGCGAACCGGAUUAGAUACCCGGGUAGUCCUAGCCGUAAACGAUGCAUACUAGGUGAUGGCACGGCCAUGAGCCGCGUCAGUGCCGUAGGGAAACCGUUAAGUGUGCCGCCUGGGAAGUACGGUCGCAAGGCUGAAACUUAAAGGAAUUGGCGGGGGAGCACCACAAGGGGUGAAGCCUGCGGUUUAAUUGGAUUCAACGCCGGA
rnacentral:rRNA from 1 species